UACGUAGGUGGCCAGCGUUGUCCGGAAUUAUUGGGCGUAAAGCGCGCGCAGGCGGUUUCUUAAGUCUGAUGUGAAAGCCCACGGCUCAACCGUGGAGGGUCAUUGGAAACUGGGGAACUUGAGUGCAGAAGAGAAGAGCGGAAUUCCACGUGUAGCGGUGAAAUGCGUAGAGAUGUGGAGGAACACCAGUGGCGAAGGCGGCUCUUUGGUCUGUAACUGACGCUGAGGCGCGAAAGCGUGGGGAGCAAACAGG
rnacentral:rRNA from 1 species